UACAGAGGGUGCGAGCGUUGUUCGGAAUCAUUGGGCGUAAAGCGCUUGUAGGCGGCUUGUUAAGUCGCGUGUGAAAUCCCUUGGCUCAACCAAGGAAGUGCGCGCGAUACUGAUCGACUCGAAGGCAGGAGAGGGUAGUGGAAUUCCCGGUGUAGUGGUGAAAUGCGUAGAUAUCGGGAGGAACACCAGUGGCGAAGGCGACUACCUGGCCUGUUCUUGACGCUGAGGCGCGAAAGCUAGGGGAGCAAACGGGG
rnacentral:rRNA from 1 species